rnacentral:rRNA from 1 species
UUAGAUAUUAUUAUUAUAUGUUUUUUGUAAAGAAUUUUUUAAACAAAAAAAUUUUUGGUUAUAUUAAUUUAAUUGAAAAAAUUUUCUUAAUUAUAGAUUAUUAGUAUUGUGAAAGAAAUAUUUAUAAUAAAAAAAGGAAAAUUGAUUUUGUACCUUGUGUCUCAGGGCUUAUUAAUUAAUAAUUGAAUAUUCUGUGUUCUCGAAUUAAUAAGAGCUAAUUUUAUAUAUAUGUUGUUGUAAAAUAAAUAUUUAAAAUAUAAAUUUAGUAAUGAAACGUUAUUCGUUUUUUAAUAUAUCUAGUUUUAAAAGAAAAAAAUUUAAUUUUUUUAUUAAGAAUUAUUAAUUUUUUUAUUAAGUUAAAUAUUUUUAGUAAAAAAUAUGUUUAGGGAUAAGCUUAAAUAUAAACAGAUAAAAUUUUAUAAUUUUUUUUUAUUUCUAGGAUUAGAAUUGUUCAAGUAUAGAAGGAUAUUUUAAUUAAUAUUGAAAUAUUAAGAUUUUUAUUGAGUUUAUUUAGUUAUUUUAAAGUUUUAUUAAAUUUUGAAUUUUAAGUUAUAAUGAUAUAAUUAGUAUAAUUAAUUGGUUAAUAAAAAUUAGUUUUUUAGAUAAUUUAAAGGAAUUCGGCAAAUAAUUUUCUACCUGUUUAUUAAAAACAUCUCCUUUUGAUAAUUUUUUAAGGUUGGCCCUGCCCAAUGAGUAGUUGAAUGGCCGCAGUAUUUUGACUGUGCAAAGGUAGCAUAAUCAUUAGUUUUUUAAUUGAAAGCUAGAAUGAAGGGGUUAAUAAGAAAAUAACUGUCUCUAUUUUAUUUUUAGAAUUUUAUUUUUAAGUAAAAAAGCUUAAAUGAUAUUUAAAGACGAUAAGACCCUAUAGAGCUUUAUAUUAAUAUUUUAAUAAUUAAGAAGAAUUAAUAUUGUUAUUUAAAUUUUAAUAUUUUAUUGGGGUGAUAGAAAAAUUUAAUUAACUUUUUUUUGUUAUUACAUAAAUAUAUGAUUUUUUGAUCCAUUAAUUAUGAUUAAAAGAUUAAGUUACCUUAGGGAUAACAGCGUAAUUUUUUUUUAGAGUUCAAAUCGAAAAAAGAGUUUGCGACCUCGAUGUUGGAUUAAAAUUAAUUUUUGGAGUAGAAGUUAAAAAUUUAGGUCUGUUCGACCUUUAAAAUUUUACAUGAUCUGAGUUUAAACCGGUGUGAGCCAGGUUGGUUUCUAUCUUAAAUAAGAAUUAAUAUUUUAGUACGAAAGGAUUAAAUAUUAAAUUAAAAAUUUUUUGUAGG